rnacentral:rRNA from 1 species
GGCUUCCUUACAGGGCCGUGGGAGACUACCACGUUGAUAGGCCGCAGGUGUAGAGGUGGAGACACCACAGCCGAGCGGUACUAAUAGCCCGAAGCUUUCCGCGC